GAUGAACGCUGGCGGCGUGCCUAAUACAUGCAAGUCGAACGCAUUGAGAGAAGUGCUUGCACUUUUCAAUUUGAGUGGCGAACGGGUGAGUAACACGUGGGCAACCUACCUGAUAGCGGGGGAUAACGAGUGGAAACAUUCGCUAAUACCGCGUAACAGUAGAGAAGGCAUCUUCUUUAUUUAAAAGGCGCUUUCAAGCGUCACUAUCAGAUGGGCCCGCGGUGCAUUAGUUAGUUGGUGGGGUGAAGGCCUACCAAGACGAUGAUGCAUAGCCGGGUUGAGAGACUGAUCGGCCACAUUGGGACUGAGACACGGCCCAAACUCCCACGGGAGGCUGCAGUAGGGAAUCUUCCACAAUGGACGAAAGUCUGAUGGAGCAACGCCGCGUGUGUGAUGAAGGCUUUCGGGUCGUAAAGCACUGUUGUAUGGGAAGAAAUGCUAGGCUAGGAAAUGAGCUUAGUUUGACGGUACCAUGCCAGAAAGGGACGGCUAAAUACGUACCAGCAGCCGCCGUAA
rnacentral:rRNA from 1 species